AGAGAGAGGACACUGGACUAAGGCACAGAACAUGCCACAAUUUCUCCUCCAUACAUGCUGCUCUGUGAGUUAUUUGUCCCUAAAUAAAUGGAGGACUGUUCUGGGGUCCGCCCCAUGGACUGUGUCCUAGCUGUUCUCGUGCCAGGGAGGAAGGGAGCAGCGCUGUGUCCUGUGGCCUGCGGGAGCCUCUGCCAAUGGCGGCUGACCUCCCCUCCUCUCCUCUCCAGCCUCUGUCCUGAGAGCGCAGCUAACUCACAGAUAGCAAAAGAGAAGCUCAGAGAGGGCAAUGAACUUGCCCAAGCCACACAGCAAAUGAGUGGCAGAGUUGAGGCUGGAACCCAAGACUCAGUACUAGACAGGGACUCCACUCCACCAAGACAUGAAGUUGGAAGGUCAGCAUAACCUUACCAAGGUCUUGGCAAGGGGUGGGGAAUGCACAGAAGGUCAAAGUAUGAGGACCAACUCUGUUGGCCUCUAACGCUAGCCUCCUGCUCCGGGGUGAAACCUUACCCGGGGCACUCUAGGGAGAUCAAGUGGUAACUGACCCAGAUGUGUCAGGGGGUCAGAUCAGAUCAGAUCAGAGGAGGCCUCCCAGAGUGGCUAUACUAAUAUUAGAAAAAAAUAGACUUUAAUCUAAAACAAAAAAUGCCAUUAGAGAUGAGAGGGACAUUUUAUGACAAAGGGUCAACCCAUCAGAAAGCUAUAGCAAUUAUAAACAUAUAUGCACCUACGAACACAGUCCUAAGAUACAUGGAACAAAGGCUGAAGGGAGAAACCCACGAUGCAACAGUAACAGUUGGAGACUUCAGUACCCCACUUUCAACAAGGUACAGAAUUUGGUUUUGUGUCUGCUCUUGACUGGUUGUGAUGGCUUAAGGUUUUGAUGAAGUUCCAGCUUCUUAUUUUUAUUCCCUUGGCUGUCAGCUAGCUACCCUAAGCUAAAGUUUUCCAUUUUUCUUCAAGACCCAGAGAUGAAAGGUGGCAAAAUGAGGCUCCCCGCCUUGUCCGUGUCUCAGGCAAAAGAGAUCUGCUUCAGUCGUCCAGUGUGACCUCAGUUUAGGAGGAAUCAGUCUUUGGCUGUGGACUUGGAACAAGCCCACCACUCUUCCCUCAAGCUGGGCCAGUGGCAGAAGCUACUGACGGUGGCUCUGUUUCCCGUUUGGUCCAGGAGGCAGCCUCAGCAUCUUUUUCGACACAGCACUCCACACAGUGAUUAUACCUGGGCAUGAAAUGGAGCUUUUGGCCCCACUCAUCUAGUGUGACCUCAGUGCCCCAUGCUACCACUCCUGAGCUGGGGGCUAGGGCUUUGGCUUGGACUAGAGCUAAGUCAGUGGCCACCUGCUACCACAUUCUCUCCAUUAAAGUACAGGCCAGCCAGCUGUCCAACCAAUGUCACCCUCUUCCUCCUCACCAUGUGGCCUCUCACAUCCGAAGCCAAGAGCAGGACUUAGGAGUGUCCACAGUAUCAGCUCUCCUUGGAGAAGGUAGAAGUGUAUGGGGUCCACACACUGUCCUGUUCAGUGUGUGCAUGACUUGGGACACACUGGUCACCCAUGACUCAAGGCAGACAUGGCACCAGAGAGCUGGCCCAUCAAGGCUGCAGGUGCCCAGCGUGAACCCCUAGUGUUGGAUGUGUGCACACGUGCCUGUCCUCCUCAGCAUGCAGCAAGGUGCUGGCCCCUCAGGGUCACCUUGAGGAUGCUCCUCCCUCCACGGCCUUGGCAUCAGAUGAGAGCCUGAAACCACCCCCCCUCCCCGGCAGUGCCUGUCUCAUUACCAGUUGGGCACAGAGAUGGCAUCACCCGUGCCUGCAGAUGGAGCCAGUUGGCACAGGUGCCUGCCUGCAUGGCCAGUUGAGAAAUUAAUCUUCCAGUCACCGCGACCAGCAGAGGUAGGUGCUGCUUUAAAUUAUGAGGGAAAGUCUCCCAAUUUCUAAACACAGCGUCCAUUUUAUCAACAAGAUAUAUAUGACCUCUCUGACAGCCCCUGUGCCCCACCCCUCUGCCUCUCUGCCACCGCACACCAGCUGCACAAGGACAGAGGAUAAAGCAAGCUUUGCCUCUAUCUUGAACUUUCUUCCCAAGCUCCUUCUACAAGUGCCCAUGAUCAAAAGGAAAUUGUACCUCAAAAUACCAUCUCUUCCCUGAGAGGCUGCCUCCCCCCACCCCGCUCGACAUACCAGCAGGAGUAGGUACUGUCUCUGGAACAUUUACUGUGUGUCCCCCACCAUGCUCGGUAGGUGUCACACACUAGAUUACCUCAAUUCUCAUGAUGGACUGUGAUGGGAUCCCCAAUUUAAUAGGUGCAGAAACUGAGCGCCAGGCAAGUUAAGUAACUUGCCCAAAGUCACAUAGCCCACAGAGGGACCUGGGGCAGUGGGAAGCCUAAGCCCCAUGCUCUUAGCCAAGGUGUUAUUCUGUGAUUAUCAGGUACUAGGCUCUGAGAGCUCGUUUCUUUUCUUUUCUUCUUCUUCUUCUUCUUCUUUUUUUUUUUUUGAUCUUGAUAAAUGAAAAUGUUCCUAUCCCUAAAAUGAUGCUUUGCUGCUUCUGGAUCACUUUAUUAUAGUCAAAGCAGGCUAUGACCUAUGGCUUAUCCAGCGUGAAGGCAUAUCAACAGCUGAACAUUGCUGAUAAGACACCGGGAUUCCAGAGAAGGGAGCCAGUGCGUGUUGGGAAGAGACAGAUCACAGCAAGCAGGACACUGGAGAAUGCUUCCCAUGGAGGUUCCUGUCUGUAUGGAUGCCUGGAAGUGGUUAAUAGAUGCCAAGAUGCAAGAGUCCUUCUUCACAUCUUUGUGGAACAAUCCACUGUUUCACAAUGAGCUGUUUCCCUCUAAUGGGUUUGUUCUUUGCGGGAUACCCAAGAGAAUAGCGAUACCGUCAAUUACAACAGGAAAAUCCAUCUCCUCUCUCCCAGUGCACUUGGCCCUGUGAUGCCACAGGUGACGACUCUGAAGAUCAUGCUUCCCUUGACAAGAUUUCUAGAUACAGAAGCCAUUUUUCCCUCCACCAACCUAGG